ensembl:lncRNA
UUAGAAACAAGUCUGAAAAUUAUAGGAACCACAAAUUUUAAAAAAAGUGUUAGUUUGAUAUGUCUGAAAUUAAUGCUUUAAUUUAUUCACCACAGAAUGUCUUCACACAUCGCUGUUUUUUGUAAUUUAUACCAUACACUGUCUACUCAAGUUAAUGUGUGAAGCAUGGUUAAAUUAUGCCUAAAAAGGAAUAUGAAAACUCUCUACAAUAUGGUCACGGGAAAAGGGUCUAACAAGGAGUAAUGGGGCAAAAUUUAAAUAAGAGAAAUUGAAAUAGAAGUUUCAGAAAAACUGUCAGGUAUUGAAGAUUCGCCUAACUGGAAUAAGCUCCUCAGAAAAAGACUUAAAAACUUUUAGAGGGCCAGCCUGGUGGCGCAGCAGUUAAGUUCCCAUGUUCCACUUCGGCAACCCUGGGUUUGCUGGUUCGGAUCCCGGGUGCGGACAUGGCACCACGUGGCAAGCCAUGCUGUGGCAGGCGUCCCACAUAUAAAGUGGAGGAAGAUGGGCAUGGAUGUUAGCUCAGGGCCAGUCUUCCUCAGCAAAAAGAGGAGGAUUGGCGGUAGAUGUUAGCUCAGGGCUAAUCUUCCUCAAAAAUAAAUAAAUAAAUAAAAAAUAAAAAUAAAGUGAGGCAUAUUAAAAAUUAAAAAAAAAACUUUUAGAGCAGUCGACUGGAAAUGGAUUAGACAAAGUUCUAGAAAAUAUUUCUAUAGGGAAUGCAUAAUUGUACGUGUGGUCUAACCAGUAGACCACAUAAUCUAAUGAGCUUUUGUGUGUUUUCAAUCUUUUGUUAAUCAUAUCAAAGGAGGUUUGGGAUAAAGAUCAAAUGAACAAUUCCAUAGAAAAGAGACAUAUUUUGUCAAUAUGAUGUCGUUUGUUCUUUUCCCCAUUGUGUAUCACAUGCUGACAGGACUUUCGUUCCUCUUCUUGUGGCUAAUUUAAUGCUGUAAAGGAUGCCAGACUGAUAGCUCGGGAGAUUGCUGUCUGUUCUACACGUUCCUGACCUUGUACUUCAGUCUCAUUCUAAAGGAGUCCGGGCGAGAACUGUAAAGGCAGGAUGGUCACUGUUUUAGGCCGUGUAGGAAAUACAGAUCUCUGAGAGACUGCUCCUGCCUUCAAUGAGUGUACAGUUCGGUGAGCUGCUAAAAUGAGAUUCUCCCAAGAAACAGAACCAAUAAGAGAUGGACAGGUCUAGAUAAAAAGAUGUGUUUGAGGAACUGGCUCACAUGAUUACAGAGACUGAGAAGUCCCACGAUCUGCAUCUAAAAGCCGGAGACCCAGCAAAGCCGAUGUGUAAUUCCUGUCUGAGUCCAAAGGCCUAACAACCAGAGGAGCUGAUGGUGUAAAUCCUCGUCCAAGGGCAGGAGAAGACCGAGGUCCCAGCUCAACCUGGCAGGUAGGAAGCAAAAGGGACGAAUUCCUCCUUCCUCCUUUUUGUUCUAUGCAGGCUCUCAACAGAUUGCAUGAGGCCCACCCACAUUGGGGAGAGCAGUCGACUUCACUGAGGCCACUGAUUCCACUGCUAACCUCAUUCGGAAACACCAUCACGGACCCGCCCCAUGGCUCAGCCAGGUUGACACAUAAAAUUAACCAUCACAACUCUCAAGUCCUAUUUCAGCGGUUCCUUUCAAACCGAGUUGAAGAUGCGAAAUAACUUUUGGACUUCUCUAGAGGAAACAUCAGCAGGACAGUCUCAUCAUUUACGGCCUGGGCCUUUGCUCCCGCCUGGCCUGCCCCACUUCUCCUCCGCACUCUAGAGCUCUUCCUGUUUGCCUGCUCUGUUCUCAGGGAAGCUCCGCUUGUGAAUCUUAUCGUUGACCCCAACUCCCCCAUCUGUCCCUGCCCUACUCAGGCCCGGGGGAACAGUGGGCGGGAAAAGCUGUUCAGCGCUUGUCACCCACUGUGGCUACUGCUGUUCCCUGAGCUAGCACAAGGCCUGUUCCCUCCUCACUCAGGUCACCGAAGGGUCCCUCGUUUCAUCUGCAGAAUCCUUUGUAGUCGAACCUUUGCUUCGAUGAGAUCUAUAUCUUAUGGGGAUAAUGUAGUUUUUAAAACAGCAAAGCAAAACAAAUAAAUUGGAUAUCUACUAUGAAACUUAGGUGAUUUGGUGAUUCUUCUGGUUUCAUGAG